GACGAACGCUGGCGGCGUGCUUAACACAUGCAAGUCGAACGGAGUGGCGAACGGGUGUGUAACACGUGGGUGAACUGCCUUGCACUUCGGGAUAAGCUUGGGAAACUGGGUCUAAUACCGGAUAGUGCAAGAUGAGCUGGGGGCCUAUCAGCUCGUUGGUGGGGUAAUGUCCUACCAAGGCGUCGAAGGGUAGCCGGCCUGAGAGGGUGUACGGCCACAUUGGGACUGAGAUACGGACCAGACUCCAACGGGAGGCAGCAGUGGGGAAUAUUGCACAAUGGGCGGAAGCCUGAUGAAGCGGCGCCGCGUGGGGGAUGCAGGCUUUCGGGUUGUAAACUCCUUUCGACAGGGACGCGGUACCUGUAUAAGAAGCACCGGCUAACUACGUGCCAGCAGCCGCGGUAAUAC
rnacentral:rRNA from 1 species